rnacentral:lncRNA from 1 species
CUAUUUUAAUAGAGCAAUACAAUACUGCUUGGAAGAAAGCGAUUACCAAGAAGAAGUCAGAUAUAUUAUAGAACACAGAAAAGACCACGGGUAUAGCGAGGGCUUUUUACACUCAAUUCUGAAGGCAGUUAAGAGAACGUGCAGUGGUUGAAGCACACCAGAAUAGGAUCAACACACAAGAACAACAACAGAAAGAUAAUGAUACUAGAAGAUAUACGGCAGUCCCAUAUCAUAUGGCGAAGUAUCCAGCUGUUAAGAAAGCCAUAGAGCUGGCUAAUAAUAAUAUAGCCAUAAAAAGAAACCCCACAGUGUUCAUGGCCCUAAGUAGCAGCAAAGAUAGAAUAGAAGAUAACUGCAAAUCGGGAAUUUACAGCAUUCCAGUUUAUAACAAGGAUAAUGGAAUUGAAAGCAAGUACAUAGGGAUGACAGGGAGAACGUUACAAGAGCAUAAUUUUUAUUUAUUUUUUGACCUUCA